AUGAGCCUCAUGGAUUCCAGGCACAAAUUCUCAGAUUUCAGAUGUUUGGGAAAUUUCUCUGCUUCGGUCAUUCCUCAAGAGUUAAAGAAUUCAGUUUGGGAAGAAAAACAGCUGAGACUCUUCCACAGCAGAGAAAAUAAACAAGGUGUGGGGAGUACCCAUCCCCUCGCCCACUCAGCUCCAGACCCGCACACAAUGUCUGACUUCAGAGGAAGCGUUGGGAUCUCCCUGGGAGGGAGCAGACGCAGAAGCAAAAUCUCCACUCGUGAAAACAUGCUUGUCUCCCUUCUGAAGUGUGAACACGACUGGCACCAGGCUGAUUCUGGGGUUUCUCCUGUGGCCAGUCAAGGCAGCCUGGCCUGCUUGACGAAGCCCUCUGCCACAGCAGGGCACCAGGCACCACGCGAAGGUUGCUCCACGAGCCUCUUUAUUCCAGCUUGAUGAUUACAUCCAUUUUCCGGACCAGAAAACUGAGGUGUAAGGUCAUUAAAAAUGGGGGUUGGUAUCUGGCCUCUGACAGAGGUGACUAUGGACCAUUCUCAAAUGCCUUCCCUGGCACUUUAGCCUUGAACCUUCAGGUGCGCUCAUGGGGGCAUCCGUGUGGCAGGCAGCAGCACGGGGCUGGGAGGUGCCCGUGAGAGUGAGUGUGUGUAUGCCACGCCAGAGGGAAAUGCGGGCACAUCAAGAAGAAUAUGACUUGGCACCCGUCCACACUGCUGCUCUUUAAAUAUUAGGUCAACGUUUAUCUAGAGGAUAGAAUGGUGCGCACCUCUCUACAGGUGUGGUAUGCAGGCGGGGUGGGAGGACAGGCAGCAGAGGCUGUGCCCCCAACUGCAUGCCACACUCACAGAAACAAAAGCCCUGACCCCCUUUCUAGAGAAGACAAUUUAGUGCCCAUCUGUUACUCCAGCUCACCCUUUUGGGGGUCCCACCUACUUCCAAAAUGGCUUUCAAAGUAUUUGUUCCAACUCCACACAAUUAUCUCCCUGGAAGGAGUUCUCAGAAGUACAAUUUUCCACCCCUUGACAAUUUAGUGACAUUUUUACGCCCCUCCUCUCAACAGACUGGUCCUGUGUCAUGUGUCGUGUGCAUGUGUGUGUGUGUGUGUGUGUGGUCAGGCUGGUGAUUUAGCGAUGAGCCUGUUCCUUAUAUAGAAAGUGUGUGUGACACCCUUCAUGUGGUCACACACUGUCUUAUCCAGAGUUCAUGCCCUUCCAAGUAAAGAAGAGACACAGGGUGGUAUUUUCUUAGGAGAUUAUUAGACCCACUGGAAUGUAACAAGAGCAUUUAGCAAUGGUGAGGAAUAAAUAUCCCCACUUGCUGGACA
rnacentral:lncRNA from 1 species